rnacentral:rRNA from 1 species
GGUGACCUGGGAUCAGGCAGGGAGACCACGCUGAA